rnacentral:lncRNA from 1 species
UACACUGCUCGUGAGCCAAGGAGAGCGAUUACAUUCCAAACUAAUUGUGGUCACCUUUCAAACCAGAUGCAUAUAUAAAGCUAUGAACUCACAUUAUACACGUGGCUUCCAUGUUCUUGAUUACACUGAUUGUGUUUAUCCUCACAGCCCUCUUCAUACCACAUGGAUGAAUCCCUCCGGGCAGUUUCAAAAGCCUACCGGAUUUCAAGAUCAACAAGGAUGUCAGCAUGCCUUCUUCAACAAAAUCAGUAGCCACAGCUUCACAGAGGGUGGCGUCUGUAAUGAGAUGAGGUCAGACAUGUCGUGUUAGGGAAAAGUUACCAUAUUCAGUUUAGAGCUUUCUUAGUGUCAAACUUGGUAGACUAAUUAAGAUCGAGAAUCAAAUAGUAAGGUAUGCUAGGGAUUACAUGGUGGAUACCACCUAUUGGAAAUAUGAGACAUAGACUAACAUGGAAACAAGGUAAGAAAAAUUCUGUUUUCCCAUAAUCUACAGAAGUAUGUGGGCCUUUCAUUGAUGAGCAUUUUUUAUGUUUCAUGUACGGAGGAAGAACAAAUUAGAGUAAACAUUAUAGUCACAUGCUUAGUCGGUGGAGCAUGUUGCUCGGACAUACCCAGCUAUUUGAUGUUCGAGAGUACAUUCUACAAAUGACUUGAUGGAAGGAAUUACCAUGGAAGCAAGGUGAUUGGAUUAUUCAUUUCUUUUGCACAAUUUAUUUACAUUUAUUUCAAAUAAUUAC